ensembl:lncRNA
AAUCUGUCCAAUGGAAGGGCAUGACGUCACGGGUGGGGUGACGUAAGUGACCAGUCACCCCACCAGCUAUAAAAGCAUGUGCCGCGCAGCUGGCAUCAGCUCAAGGGAGCCGACUGUCCGCAUUGUGAAUGAUUGCCAGUGUGGACGCUUCGCUCCUGGAAGGCUCUCUUCGAGGAGGGAGCCUUUGCCAGUGUUCCCCGCCGAAGCAGAGCGGCAGCUGCACUUGUGGGGUUCGCAGGUAGAUUUGUCAGAGGGAAUGGAGACGGGCGAGCCCCUAUCUCCUUCCUCAUCUGCCAGAUCUUGUGCCCAAUCCCUGGGAUCGGAAGCCCGCUCCACAGUUUCUUCCCCCCGGGGAGAGGGAUUGAUACUUCGCCUAUCUUCCUCCGAGGAGGUGGAUGUGGAGAGUGUCGAAGAGGAUUCGACACCUCAAUUGCCCCAGUACGAGGAGCUCUUAGAGGUGGUUACUCACGCGGUGGCCAAGUUGAACAUCGAUUGGCCCGUUGAAAAACAAUCUGAACUCCAGAAAAGCAAGCUCGAUGAAUGCUUUCUGGGGGCAAGACAACCACCUCCAUGCCGGAGCCUGCCCUUCUUUCCCGAUCUGCUUAAUGAGAUCGCCAGAUCGUGGAAUCGGCCAUUUUCAGCCCGCCUUUUCAUCCCUGAAUCAUACUACUAUGGCAAUGUGGCGGGGCUGGGAGAGCGUGGCUACAGAGCAAUGCCACGGGUGGAACAGACGCUUGUGAGCUAUCUGUUCCCCGGGGCUGCAUCCUCUCUGAAGGCUCCGGUGCUGCCCUCCAAGCCGCUCAGAACAACUUCGGCUUUGGUGGGCAAAAGGUAUGUGGCAGCAGGUCAGGCUGGUGCGUGUCUGCACACAAUGGCUGUGUUACAGGCAUACCAAACCGACCUGCUAAAAGAGCUAGAUGAGGGAGAGGAGAUUAAGUCCGACGACAUCACCGAAUUAAGACGGACCGCUGAUCACUCCCUUUGCGUCACCAAAGAAACUGCUCGCACCAUCGGGCGGUCAAUGGCAGCUAUGGUGGCUGCGGAGAGGCACUUAUGGCUGACCCUGUCCGACAUGAAAGAAAGGGACGGGGCCUGCCUCAUGGAUGCCCCGCUUCAGCCUUCUGGCCUUUUCGGCGACGCCAUCAACUCGGUCGUUGACAGGUACCAUGAGGCACGUAAGCAAGUGGCGGCUUUCCAGAAGUUCCUCCCUCGUCGCUCUCAUGGUGCAUCUGGGUGGGAGAUGGCCCCUCCGCAUACCAGCUCCUCGUACCGUGAGGCUCAAAAACAGAGCGUUGCCUCUCGUGCUCCACCGCGCCGGGACCAAGAGCCUCAACGAUGCACUGGGACAGGGACUUCUAAGCCCAAAACAGAUCUUAGGGCAGUCAUCGAAGCUAAGAAGUCCUCGGCCAAGAAGUCCUGACAUGAGGGGUUCAGGACUUCAGAAGGCGACCCCUACUGGGGUAGAGCGGGGUACACCGCAUCACACGGUUCCUGUCUCACCCCAAUGCCCUCGGGAAGUCGGUCUGCUAACCCUGCCAGUGCUCCAGGGUGCAGUGGCUUCCUGCGUGCACUGCUCUCAGUUGCUUCCCCCCGUGAGCGUAGUGGAGCUGAGAGGCUCGCUACCCCUUUGGGGGUCUCUAAAACAGUUAGAUCGGUUGCCCCCUGCCGGUCCUCCCCUUCAGGGCACUGAUCUACCUGCCUCAAGAACACCAGAGGUCAUUAUCAAGAGACUGAAUCCCUUAGUAGAUUAUUUAGCAGCAUGGAAACUACUGAAAAAAUGUAUAUCAAU